UACUGAGUUUACGCUCUACAACCCUUUGUGAACAUACCUAUAACUGUUGCUUCGGCGGGUAGGGUCUCCGUGACCCUCCCGGCCUCCCGCCCCCGGGCGGGUCGGCGCCCGCCGGAGGAUAACCAAACUCUGAUUUAACGACGUUUCUUCUGAGUGGUACAAGCAAAUAAUCAAAACUUUUAACAACGGAUCUCUUGGUUCUGGCAUCGAUGAAGAACGCAGCGAAAUGCGAUAAGUAAUGUGAAUUGCAGAAUUCAGUGAAUCAUCGAAUCUUUGAACGCACAUUGCGCCCGCCAGCAUUCUGGCGGGCAUGCCUGUUCGAGCGUCAUUUCAACCCUCAAGCUCUGCUUGGUGUUGGGGCCCUACAGCUGAUGUAGGCCCUCAAAGGUAGUGGCGGACCCUCCCGGAGCCUCCUUUGCGUAGUAACUUUACGUCUCGCACUGGGAUCCGGAGGGACUCUUGCCGUAAAACCCCCAAUUUUCCAAAGGUUGACCUCGGAUCAGGUAGGAAUACCCGCUGAACUUAAGCAUAUCAAUAAGCGGAGGAAAAGAAACCAACAGGGAUUGCCUCAGUAACGGCGAGUGAAGCGGCAACAGCUCAAAUUUGAAAUCUGGCCCUAGGCCCGAGUUGUAAUUUGCAGAGGAUGCUUUUGGUGCGGUGCCUUCCAAGUUCCCUAGAACGGGACGCCAGAGAGGGUGAGAGCCCCGUACAGUUGGACACCAAGCCUUUGUAAAGCUCCUUCGACGAGUCGAGUAGUUUGGGAAUGCUGCUCAAAAUGGGAGGUAUAUUUCUUCUAAAGCUAAAUACCGGCCAGAGACCGAUAGCGCACAAGUAGAGUGAUCGAAAGAUGAAAAGCACUUUGAAAAGAGGGUUAAACAGCACGUGAAAUUGUUAAAAGGGAAGCGCUUGUGACCAGACUUGCGUCCGGUGAAUCACCCAGCUCUCGCGGCUGGGGCACUUCGCCGGCUCAGGCCAGCAUCAGCUCGCUGUCGGGGACAAAAGCUUCAGGAACGUAGCUCUCUUCGGGGAGUGUUAUAGCCUGUUGCAUAAUACCCUUCGGCGGGCUGAGGUACGC
rnacentral:ncRNA from 2 species